rnacentral:rRNA from 1 species
CCUACGGGCAGCUGCAGUGGGGAAUAUUGGACAAUGGGCGAAAGCCUGAUCCAGCCAUGCCGCGUGUGUGAAGAAGGCCUUCGGGUUGUAAAGCACUUUCAGUGGGGAAGAAAGCCUUGGGGCUAAUACCCUCGAGGAAGGACAUCACCCACAGAAGAAGCACCGGCUAACUCCGUGCCAGCAGCCGCGGUAAUACGGAGGGUGCGAGCGUUAAUCGGAAUUACUGGGCGUAAAGCGCGCGUAGGCGGUCUGAUAAGCCGGUUGUGAAAGCCCCGGGCUCAACCUGGGAACGGCAUCCGGAACUGUCAGGCUAGAGUGCAGGAGAGGAAGGUAGAAUUCCCGGUGUAGCGGUGAAAUGCGUAGAGAUCGGGAGGAAUACCAGUGGCGAAGGCGGCCUUCUGGACUGACACUGACGCUGAGGUGCGAAAGCGUGGGUAGCAAACAGGAUUAGAUACCCCAGUAGUC